UACGUAGGGGGCUAGCGUUGUCCGGAAUCAUUGGGCGUAAAGCGCGUGUAGGCGGUCCGGUAAGUCCGCUGUGAAAGUCGGGGGCUCAACCCUCGAAUGCCGGUGGAUACUGUCGGGCUAGAGUGCGGAAGAGGAGAGUGGAAUUCCUGGUGUAGCGGUGAAAUGCGCAGAUAUCAGGAGGAACACCAAUUGCGAAGGCAGCUCGCUGGAACGUUACUGACGCUGAGACGCGAAAGCGUGGGGAGCAAACAGG
rnacentral:rRNA from 1 species